AGGAAUUCCGAUGACUUCACAAUCAACCAGAGUAUCACCAAUCAGGAAUCCGGUGGGCAGGAAUCCGGUGAUAACUCUCACAGCAACAAGGAAGGCCUAGUUCACACACAGGAGAGAAAUCUUAGAAGGAGUAGCAGAGCCUUCUCAAGAAAAAUGCCUGAAGACCUUCUAGUUGCUGUGAAGAAUUAGGGCCAGAUUUAAAAGGAUGGGAGGCAUCGGGAAGGGGGUGGAGAAUUGAAGACGGAAGGAGAACCGAGGAGUCGGGAGGUGGAGGGAACUGGAAGGGCGCAGAUGGGAGAGAGAGAUUGCAGCGGCGCACGGGAGUGAUGAAAUGGGGGGGGGGCUGAUUUGGAUUUAGGGUAUAAAGGGGAUGGGCUUGGGCUUGGGCUUGGGGGGCGAUUAAUGAUAUUGGGCCAACA
rnacentral:lncRNA from 1 species